rnacentral:rRNA from 1 species
CAGUCGCCGCGGGAAUACAGAGGGUGCAAGCGUUAAUCGGAAUUACUGGGCGUAAAGCGCGCGUAGGUGGUUUGUUAAGUUGGAUGUGAAAGCCCCGGGCUCAACCUGGGAACUGCAUUCAAAACUGGCAAGCUAGAGUACGGUAGAGGGUGGUGGAAUUUCCUGUGUAGCGGUGAAAUGCGUAGAUAUAGGAAGGAACACCAGUGGCGAAGGCGACCACCUGGACUGAUACUGACACUGAGGUGCGAAAGCGUGGGGAGCAAACAGGAUUAGAGACCCCCGUAGUCCCUGUCUCUUAUAC